rnacentral:rRNA from 1 species
UGCAGUCGAGCGGUAACAUUUCUAGCUUGCUAGAAGAUGACGAGCGGCGGACGGGUGAGUAACGCGUAGGAAUCUACCUAUUGGUGGGGGAUAGCCCAGGGAAACUUGGAUCAAUACCGCAUAAGCUCUUAGGAGGAAAGCGGGGGAUCUUCGGACCUCGUGCCAAUAGAUGAGCCUGCGUAAGAUUAGCUAGAUGGUGGGGUAAUGGCCUACCAUGGCGACGAUCUUUAGCUGGUCUGAGAGGAUGAUCAGCCACACUGGGACUGAGACACGGCCCAGACUCCUACGGGAGGCAGCAGUGGGGAAUAUUGCACAAUGGGCGCAAGCCUGAUGCAGCCAUGCCGCGUGUGUGAAGAAGGCCUUAGGGUUGUAAAGCACUUUCAGUGGGGAGGAAAGGUUAUAAGUUAAUACCUUAUAGCUGUGACGUUACCC